UACGUAGGGUGCAAGCGUUGUCCGGAAUUAUUGGGCGUAAAGAGCUCGUAGGCGGUCUGUCGCGUCGGCUGUGAAAACCCGGAGCUCAACUCCAGAACUGCCUUUGAUACUGGCGAUCUUGAGUCCGGGAGAGGUGAGUGGAACUGCGAGUGUAGAGGUGAAAUUCGUAGAUAUUCGCAAGAACACCGGAGGCGAAGGCGCCUGCCUGGCAGUGUAUUGACGCUGAGGUGCGAAAGUGCGGGGAGCGAACAGG
rnacentral:rRNA from 1 species